rnacentral:rRNA from 1 species
UUAAGUGAAUAAGGGCGCACGGUGGAUGCCUUGGCACUAGGAGCCGAUGAAGGACGGGACUAACACCGAUAUGCUUUGGGGAGCUGUACGUAAGCUAUGAUCCAGAGAUUUCCGAAUGGGGGAACCCAGCAUCUUUAAUAGGAUGUUACGAUUGUGUGAAUACAUAGCACAUUCGAGGUAGACGCAGAGAACUGAAACAUCUAAGUACCUGCAGGAAGAGAAAGAAAAUUCGAUUCCCUGAGUAGCGGCGAGCGAAACGGGAAAAGCCCAAACCAGCAAGCUUGCUUGUUGGGGUUGUAGGACUCCAAUAUGGUAGUUCUUUCAGAUAGUCGAAUGACUUGGAAAAGUCAGUCAAAGAGGGUAAAAACCCCGUAGACGAAAUGUGGAAGACACCUAGGAGGAUCCUGAGUACGGCGGAACACGAGAAAUUCCGUCGGAAUCCGGGAGGACCAUCUCCCAAGGCUAAAUACUCCCUAGUGACCGAUAGUGAACCAGUACCGUGAGGGAAAGGUGAAAAGCACCCCGGAAGGGGAGUGAAAUAGAACCUGAAACCGUGUGCCUACAACAAGUCAAAGCCCGUUAAUGGGUGAUGGCGUGCCUUUUGUAGAAUGAACCGGCGAGUUACGAUUGCAUGCGAGGUUAAGUUGAAGAGACGGAGCCGCAGCGAAAGCGAGUCUGAAUAGGGCGUUUGAGUAUGUAGUCGUAGACCCGAAACCAUGUGAUCUACCCAUGUCCAGGUUGAAGGUGCGGUAAAACGCACUGGAGGACCGAACCCACGUACGUUGAAAAGUGCGGGGAUGAGGUGUGGGUAGCGGAGAAAUUCCAAACGAACUUGGAGAUAGCUGGUUCUCUCCGAAAUAGCUUUAGGGCUAGCCUCGGAAUUGAGAAUGAUGGAGGUAGAGCACUGUUUGGACUAGGGGCCCAUCUCGGGUUACCGAAUUCAGAUAAACUCCGAAUGCCAUUCAUUCAUAUCCGGGAGUCAGACUGUGAGUGAUAAGAUCCAUAUUCGAAAGGGAAACAGCCCAGACCACCAGCUAAGGUCCCAAAAUAUAUGUUAAGUGGAAAAGGAUGUGGGGUUGCACAGACAACUAGGAUGUUGGCUUAGAAGCAGCCAUCAUUUAAAGCGUGCGUAAUAGCUCACUAGUCGAGUGACCCUGCGCCGAAAAUGUACCGGGGCUAAACAUAUUACCGAAGCUGUGGAGUACACCUUUAGGUGUAUUGGUAGGAGAGCGUUCUAAGGGCGUUGAAGGCAGAUCGUGAGGACUGCUGGAGGGCUUAGAAGUGAGAAUGCCGGUAUGAGUAGCGAAAGACAGGUGAGAAUCCUGUCCACCGAAUGACUAAGGUUUCCUGGGGAAGGCUCGUCCGCCCAGGGUUAGUCGGGACCUAAGCCGAGGACGACAGGCGUAGGCGAUGGAUAACAGGUUGAUAUUCCUGUACCCGUUGUUUUUGUUUGAGCAAUGGAGGGACGCAGGAGGCUAAGGAAUGCAGACGAUCGGAAAUGUCUGUCCAAGCAGUAAGUCUGAAGAGGAGUCAAAUGCUUCUUUUCUUAGGGACAAGCUGUGAUGGGGAGGGAAAUAAUAGUACCGAAGUUCCUGAUGUCACACUGCCGAGAAAAGCUUCUAGUGAGAAAACAGCGGCCCGUACCGCAAACCGACACAGGUAGUCGAGGAGAGAAUCCUAAGGUGAGCGAGAGAACUCUCGUUAAGGAACUCGGCAAAAUGACCCCGUAACUUCGGGAGAAGGGGUGCUGAUCAUACGAUCAGCCGCAGUGAAUAGGCCCAAGCGACUGUUUAUCAAACACACAGGUCUCUGCAAAAUCGUAAGAUGAAGUAUAGGGGCUGACGCCUGCCCGGUGCUGGAAGGUUAAGAGGAGUGCUUAGCGCAAGCGAAGGUACGAAUUGAAGCCCCAGUAAACGGCGGCCGUAACUAUAACGGUCCUAAGGUAGCGAAAUUCCUUGUCGGGUAAGUUCCGACCCGCACGAAAGGCGUAACGAUUUGGGCACUGUCUCAACGAGAGACUCGGUGAAAUUUUAGUACCUGUGAAGAUGCAGGUUACCCGCGACAGGACGGAAAGACCCCAUGGAGCUUUACUGUAGUUUGAUAUUGAGUGUCUGUACCGCAUGUACAGGAUAGGUAGGAGCCGUAGAAAUCGGAACGCUAGUUUCGAUGGAGGCGCUGGUGGGAUACUACCCCUGCGUUAUGGCCACUCUAACCCGCACCACUAAUCGUGGUGGGAGACAGUGUCAGAUGGGCAGUUUGACUGGGGCGGUCGCCUCCUAAAAGGUAACGGAGGCGCCCAAAGGUUCCCUCAGAAUGGUUGGAAAUCAUUCGAAGAGUGUAAAGGCAGAAGGGAGCUUGACUGCGAGACCAACAAGUCGAGCAGGGACGAAAGUCGGGCUUAGUGAUCCGGUGGUUCCGCAUGGAAGGGCCAUCGCUCAACGGAUAAAAGCUACCCUGGGGAUAACAGGCUUAUCUCCCCCAAGAGUCCACAUCGACGGGGAGGUUUGGCACCUCGAUGUCGGCUCGUCGCAUCCUGGGGCUGUAGUCGGUCCCAAGGGUUGGGCUGUUCGCCCAUUAAAGCGGCACGCGAGCUGGGUUCAGAACGUCGUGAGACAGUUCGGUCCCUAUCCGUCGCGGGCGUUGGAAAUUUGAGAGGAGCUGUCCUUAGUACGAGAGGACCGGGAUGGACUUACCGCUGGUGUACCAGUUGUUCUGCCAAGGGCAUUGCUGGGUAGCUAUGUAGGGAAGGGAUAAACGCUGAAAGCAUCUAAGUGUGAAGCCCACCUCAAGAUGAGAUUUCCCAUUUCUUUAAGAAAGUAAGAUCCCUGAGAGAUGAUCAGGUAGAUAGGUAAGGAGUGGAAGUACAGUGAUGUAUGGAGCGGACUGAUACUAAUCGAUCGAGGACUUAACCAA